rnacentral:rRNA from 1 species
UACGUAGGGUGCGAGCGUUGUCCGGAAUUAUUGGGCGUAAAGAGCUUGUAGGCGGUCUGUCGCGUCUGCUGUGAAAAUCCGGGGCUCAACCUCGGGUCUGCAGUGGGUACGGGCAGACUGGAGUGCGGUAGGGGAGAAUGGAAUUCCUGGUGUAGCGGUGAAAUGCGCAGAUAUCAGGAGGAACACCGGUGGCGAAGGCGGGACUCUGGGCCGAUACUGACGCUGAGGAGCGAAAGCGUGGGGAGCGAACAGG